rnacentral:rRNA from 1 species
UACGGAGGGUGCAAGCGUUAUCCGGAUUCCCUGGGUUUAAAGGGUGCGUAGGUGGGUUUGUAAGUCCGUGGUGAAAUCUCCAAGCUUAACUUGGAAACUGCCGUUGAUACUAUAAAUCUUGAAUGUUGUGGAGGUGAGCGGAAUAUGUCAUGUAGCGGUGAAAUGCUUAGAUAUGACAUAGAACACCAAUUGCGAAGGCAGCUCACUACACAAAGAUUGACACUGAGGCACGAAAGCGUGGGGAUCAAACAGG